rnacentral:rRNA from 1 species
GAUGAACGCUAGCGGCGGGCUUAACACAUGCAAGUCGAGGGGCAGCGCGGGUUUUUCGGACUUGGCGGCGACCGGCGGACGGGUGAGUAACGCGUACGUUACCUACCUUUAACAGGAGGAUAGAUUUGCGAAAGCGAGAGUAAUACUCCAUAGUAUUGUGAGGGCGGAAGUUUUCGUGAUGAAAGGUUUACUUUAUGAGUGAGCUGGUUAGAGAUGGGCGUGCGUCCUAUUAGUUAGUUGGUGAGGUAAGGCUUACCAAGGACUGCGAUAGGUAGGGUCUUGAGAAGGAUGUCCCCCACACUGGAACUGAGACACGGGUCCAGGACUUCACGGAAGGCAGCAGUGAGGAAUAAUGGUCAAUGAGCGCAAGCUUGAACCUGCCAUGCCGCGUGCAGGAUGAAUGCCUUAUGGGUU